ACCUGGGUGGCUCAGUUGGUUGAGCAUCUGACUUCGGCUCAGGUCAUGUUCUCCCAGUUUGUGGUUCGAGCCCCGGGUC
rnacentral:tRNA from 1 species